GUUGAAAUACAGGUUCCCAUACAAUCAUCGAAGUGAAGCAACGUCGAGACUGGUCAGUACCUAGAUAGGUGACCGCUUAGGAAUACCAGGUGCU